CGCCGUCUUAUUGGAUCUCUUCGCCCUUCUGCCUAAGUUCGGAAUGCCAACGCCUGAAGGUUGCUGGGUUGGUGUGCUCUGCACUCUCACACGCUCAGUUCGCGCUCUUUCUCUGAACGUGGUGGUGAAUCGUUGUGCCAUGUUGAGUGUUGGUCAGCUCCAAGUGAACGUUUUUGUCAUGCGCUUUGGAGCUCCAUUUCUGCGGCACCUGUACGUCUUACGCCUAUCAAGAGUCAUGCUGUGUUCCUGCCAUCAGCCUGGUGUCACUUUGGGUCGACAUCCUUCUUUGUUGAGGAUCAGCACAGAAACAAGACCGCGGAAAUCUGCUUUCUUAGUACCUCUGAUCUCAGCAGUGUAUUUCGUGUCUGCGACCACUGGCACCGAUCCUUCAGGAUGACUAGUAAAUUGUGUAGCGUACCCGUGACCUCUUCUGUUCUGCAUCUGAAACUAUGGACGAAAGGCUUCAUUCACCCAGCGUGUGGCGACUUCCUUAUGGGCCGAUGUACCUGCGAACUCGGUUAAUUUUGGUCUCUGGGACUGUUCAAGCAAGUCCACAGAAAUGCCCCACUAAAUUUUGUAGUACACGUGAACUGCAAUUGUAGUCGUCUUCGACCGCUGAGCCAGCCUGCAGUGAGCCUUAGUGAAAUGUUUAGUCGCCAAGAUACCUGUGAUAUUUUCAGAAGUAUUUGUAACUGCUGCCAUUGAAGAACAGUCAUGCUCUGCCUCUGGUAACUUCCAUCGAGGCUGUCUGAUUCCCGUGAAUUUUUAGGAUGAAAUUGUGUUUAUGUGUGGCUGCUGAAGCAAGCCCACACAAAUCCUCUAUUAGCUUUUCAUAUGGGUGAACUCAUAUAAUGCAUUUUUCAGUCUAUGACUGCUGAAGCGAGCAUGCUGCAAGCUUUUAGUUAAUUGUUUAGUCGCCAAGGUACCUGUGACGGUUCAGCAAUAUUUGGCUGUGACCACGGAAAGGUCGCAUUCUGCUUCUGUUGACUUGCUUAGAGGCCUUCAAGCCUAUGAACACUUAUGGUGAAUUUGUGUUUGUGACCACUCAAGUGCAGCGAGUGUCUUGUAACUCUAGUACUUGUGACGUCAGUUUGGUAUUGUGUUGAAGCAAGUGUCUUGUAACUGCCUUUGUAUCUGAACUCUCCAGUAAUGUUUGUGUUUGCAACUACUUAAGUGAUCCUUUAGUAAUCUUUUUAUGCCCCGUGUGUCUAUAAAAUAUUUAGUACUUUUACUGUGUGCAAACGCUGAAGGAGGCCUGCAGAAAGUGGAGUAGCUUCCGUCAUGGCUAAGACACCUCUGAACUUUUCAGCAAAUAUCGCAUUUAUGUGCCCACGACCGUUGAAGUGAGCCAGCCCACAGUAGCCCUCCUACUAACUUCCUUUGUACCCCCCUACCCCCCCCCCCCCCCCACCCUUGCAUAGGGCUUUUAAAGUUCUUUUACUCGCCGAGGUGCAUCUGCGUAUUAUUAGCUCAACUGAAAUGGUCUUAUCACUACACACGAAAGUGUCGAUGUUUGCUCUGGUGACCUUUGCCAGAACUUGUUAUGAAUGCACAGUGCAUUUGCUGUACACUCUAAGAACAGUUGCACCCUUUGGGGUGUAAUUUUGCCACAGAACGAUAAUCGUCAUCUGUCUUUUCUUGAAAACCCUGCGCUCGUUACUUUCCUGUCGAGAAUGCUCUGUCAUGCUGAUAAUGCGCAUGUCAUUCGUGACAUGGAAGUACCAGGCUUGCAGCGUUAAAGAAAGGAAAUGUGGGCAAGACGGAUGACAAUUAUUGUUCUGUGGCAAAUAUACACCCCAAAGGGUGCAACUAUUUUUAGAGUGUAAAUGGAUGAUUAUACAGCAGCUGUUUGUCUAUAUAUGACCACUGAACUAGCCUCGAGUAAUUUUGUUGAUGCCUAAUGUAGUUGUGACAUCUUAAUUUAGCAUAACUCGUGUUCGUGUAUGUAACUACUGAAUAUGGCCUAGGGAAAGGCUGUGGCAACUUAAAGUGGCUAACAUAUCUAAACUUUUCAGCAAAUUUUGCAUUGAUGUGCCUGCUACCACGGAAGUGAGCCCACUGCAAGCCUCGUGAUAAGUUCCAUAGUGGGCCCACUGCGAAUUCUGAAAUUUUCUUGCUACCCAAAGUGCAUUUGUAAAGAGUUUGAAUAAUGUACACUUUUACUAACCAUGGUGCGGUAUAAAUAACUCCAAUAGCUGAGCUUGUAUGAAGAAAUCAUCGACUUUUAUUUGUUUGCAUUCCUGGGUUUUACUGAAAACUGCUGAGUGCAUUUUAGAGUUCAACGAGUGAUCUUCCUGCAACUGUUUUAUUGAAAUAAAUGCUGUAUUUUUGA